rnacentral:rRNA from 1 species
GACGAACGCUGGCGGCGUGCUUAACACAUGCAAGUCGAACGAAGUGGCGAACGGGUGAGUAAUACGUGGGUAACUGCCCUCCUUUUUGGGAUAAGCCUUGGAAACGGGGUCUAAUACCGACUAAAGGGGGAUGGGCUCGCGGCCUAUCAGCUUGUUGGUGGGGUGAUGGCCUACGAAGGCGGUGACGGGUAGCCGGACUGAGAGGUGAUCGGCCCCGUUGGGCUGAGACGCGGCACAGGCUCCUACGGGAGGCAGCAGUGGAGAAUAGUGGGCAAUGGGCGCAAGCCUGACCCAGCCACGCGGCGUGAAGGAAGACGGUCUUCGGAUGGUAAACGUCUUUAGACAGGGACGCGGUACCUGUAGAAUAAGCCACGGCUAACUACGUGCCAGCAGCCGCGGUAAUUC